GGGGAAUAUUGGGCAAUGGGCGAAAGCCUGACCCAGCAACGCCGCGUGAAGGAAGAAGGCCCUCGGGUUGUAAACUUCUUUUAUCAGGGACGAAAAAAAUGACGGUACCUGAUGAAUAAGCCACGGCUAACUACGUGCCAGCAGCCGCGGUAAUACGUAGGUGGCAAGCGUUAUCCGGAUUUACUGGGUGUAAAGGGCGUGUAGGCGGGACUGCAAGUCAGAUGUGAAAACUAUGGGCUCAACCCAUAGCCUGCAUUUGAAACUGUGGUUCUUGAGUGAUGGAGAGGCAGGCGGAAUUCCGUGUGUAGCGGUGAAAUGCGUAGAUAUACGGAGGAACACCAGUGGCGAAGGCGGCCUGCUGGACAUUAACUGACGCUGAGGCGCGAAAGCGUGGGGAGCAAAC
rnacentral:rRNA from 1 species